UCUGCUGUGAUGAGGCAAGGCACCAGAUGGUGUUUAUAGGGUAGUGGAAGAGGCAAACAUUGCUCUCCGUGAUCCCAUUUUAUAAACGACUUCUCCUUCCACUGAGCAUC